AUUGAACGCUGGCGGCAGGCCUAACACAUGCAAGUCGAGCGGUAGCACAGGGAGCUUGCUCCUGGGUGACGAGCGGCGGACGGGUGAGUAAUGUCUGGGAAACUGCCUGAUGGAGGGGGAUAACUACUGGAAACGGUAGCUAAUUCCGCAUAACGUCGCAAGACCAAAGAGGGGGACCUUCGGGCCUCUUGCCAUCAGAUGUGCCCAGAUGGGAUUAGCUAGUAGGUGGGGUAACGGCUCACCUAGGCGACGAUCCCUAGCUGGCCUGAGAGGAUGACCAGCCACACUGGAACUGAGCCACGGUCCAGACUCCUACGGGAGGCAGCAGUGGGGAAUAUUGCACAAUGGGCGCAAGCCUGAUGCAGCCAUGCCGCGUGUAUGAAGAAGGCCUUCGGGUUGUAAAGUACUUUCAGCGGGGAGGAAGGUGUUGAGGUUAAUAACCUCAGCAAUUGACGUUACCCGCAGAAGAAGCACCGGCUAACUCCGUGCCAGCCGCCGCCGUAAUAC
rnacentral:rRNA from 1 species